AAGUGAAUAGUGAUAUAGAACAAGAGACUAGGAAAGAAAGAUGGUGGAUAAUAAGAGGCAUUUCGUUUUGGUUCAUGGAGCUUCCCAUGGAGCAUGGUGUUGGUACAAGCUUGUCACUCUACUGGAAUCUUCUGGACAUAAAGUCACAACAUUAGACCUGGCUGCUUCUGGAAUCCAUCCAAAACAAGUGGAUGAGGUUGAUUCUGUUGCAGAUUAUUAUGAACCAUUGAUUCAACUUGUUAGGUCAUUGCCACAAGAGGAGAGGAUAAUCCUUGUGGGUCAUAGCUUUGGUGGCAUUUGUACAUCUAUGGCUAUGGAAUUUUUUCCAAACAAAAUAGCAGUUUCUGUAUUUGUUGCAUCUGCAUUGCUUCCUACUGAGGAGGGUUCCUCCAACUCUGAAUCAAAGAUUUUAUUUGGCAUUAGGAUUAGCUCAAAUAAUAAAUCAAAUGGAUCCAUACUAUUUCCCCCAGAAUACAUGAAAUCCCAUCUGUAUCAACUAUCUCCACCUGAGGACUUUUCUCUUGCAAUGACAUUAGUAAGGCCUAUAAGUACAUUUGAUGAUAAGUUCGAAGAGCAAACAAAGGUCACAAAAGAUAAUUACGGAACUGUUGCUAGAGUUUGCGUUGUGUGUCGAGAAGACAAAUUGGCAACGUAUGAAUCUCAAAUGGCAAUGAUUGAACAAAAUCCUGUGAAUGAUUUCAGAGUGAUUCCUGAUGCUGAUCACAUGGUCAUGUUCUCUAAACCUCAAGAGCUUUUUGCAUAUUUUCAAGAAAUUGCAAAGACAUAUUAUUAGCAAUUUACUCGAACAAGAACGAUAAUCCCUUAAUUACACAUUUUCUUCAUGGAUUGUUCGUCUUUGACACACAACCGCCCUGCUAAAUCCAAAUAUAUUGGGUCGACUAACCACUUCAAAUCGUGCUACUAUGAAUCAAGUAUAAGAUUCCAAUCCUGAUGCAUUCUAAGAUCAAUUCAAAUGUGGCAGACCAUUGGAAGCAUAAUAACUGGGCCAUCCACAUCAAUAUUAUCACAGUAUUGCCAUCUAUCCUUGACACCAUUAGCCCAUUCUCCAUAUCUGAAAUGGAUAUGGAAGACUCCCUUGCUUGGAGGAACAUUGAGAAUGGAAAUCUAACAACUAAGUUUGCAUAUGACAUGAUUGCAAAAGCUAGCAAUCCCGGAACAUGGAAAUCCUUCCCAUCUGGAACAUGGAAAUCCUUCCCAUGGGAUAUUGACUCUGCUCCCUCUAAUUCCAUGGUUACUUGGAGGCUAAUGCACAAUAAGAUUCUCACUGAUGAAAACAUGGCUUCAAGGGGUUUCUCUUUACCUUCUAUAUGUUCUUUAUGCAAUUGCAAUGCUGAAACAUCCACUCAUUUGUUCUUUGAAUGUUUUUUUGCAGUUAAACUUUGGAGCUGGUUCAGCAGCACUUUAGAGAGCCCCAUUGUCAUCAAAGCAUUGCCUGACUGUUUACAAAUAAUCAACGAAGCUUGGAGUUAACAAUCAAUGGAUGUGAUCAAGUCCAGCAUUGUUUUCAUCAUAUAUCAACUGUGGCAGACUCGCAACAUGGCCAGAUUUGAGGACAACUUUUUGCCUUGGCAGCGAUGCAUUAGUAAUGUGGCAGCUAGAGCUAAAUUGGUAGGAAGGUUGACUGGAAAAAAAGGAGAUAAUUCUAUUAAAAGCUUCUCCUUCCUCAAGAAAUUUGAAAUCAUAAUCCAUCCUCGUAAGCUGAAGAUGACAGUGGAAGUGAUGUGGAGCCCUCCAUGUAUUGGAUGGAUUAAAUGCAACAUCGACGGAGCUGCAGCCGGUUCGACCUCUCUUGCUUCUUGCGGUGGUAUUUUCCGUGAUGCUUAAGCUAACCAUGUCAUUAGCAGUGUCUUCUUGGGUGCUGGUUCUUCUGUGUUUGGAGAAUUCAUGGCAGCGGUUUUGGCAAUAGAAAAGGCUCGUCAUUUGAAUUGGACAAAGUUGUGGUUAGAAACAGAUUGUGCACUUCUUGUCAAAGCUUUUUCAGAUUCAAGCUUGGUCCCGUGAAAAAUCAAAUCUCGUUGGCUUACGUGUUGGACAUCAUUGUUUAAAAAAAAAGUUUAUAAAGAUGAGGCUAUACUAGAUAUCAUCUUAUCUAUGUAUCCCAUAGGCAUGACAAGUGAAGCUUCAUUCAGUUAGCCAGAUCACUUCCUAAAGCCAGUGUUUCAGACAGGACAGCUCAUCCUUGUUGCUGAUUAGUCGUUGUGUCGUGUUUCCUUUCUGUUUGCAUUUCCCUUUUGACUGUAUUUGCUAUUUUGCUUUCAAAUUUUGUUUGUACUUUCAUGUUGAUUUUAAUAAAAUGAGCAUUGCAAUGUUUUGAUUCAAUUCAUUUA